rnacentral:rRNA from 1 species
CCUACGGGUGGCUGCAGUAAGGAAUAUUGGUCAAUGGACGAAAGUCUGAACCAGCCAUCCCGCGUGCAGGAUGAAAGCCCUAUGGGUUGUAAACUGCUUUUAGCAGAGAAGAAAAGCUUUCAUUAAUGAGAGUCUGACGGUAUCUGCAGAAUAAGCACCGGCUAACUCCGUGCCAGCAGCCGCGUAAUACGGAGGGUGCGCGCGUUAUCCGGGAUUACUGGGUGUAAAGGCGGAGUAUGCGGUGAGUUAAGAAAUCUUGUCGCUUAACGAUAAAAUUGCCAAUGAUACUGGUACUCUUGAAUUGGGUUGAGGUUAGCGGAAUGUGACAUGUAGCGGUGAAAUGCAUAGAUAUGUCAUGGAACACCAAUUGCGAAGGCAGCUAACUGGGCCUUGAUUGACGCUGAGGCACGAAAGCGUGGGUAGCGAACAGGAUUAGAUACCCGGGUAGUC